GUUUGUAAAGUUUAUUGUGAAUGUAGUAUUGAAGAUACUGAGGAGAAGUAUGAGUUCUGCGAACA
rnacentral:tRNA from 1 species